UACAGAGGUCCCAAGCGUUGUUCGGAUUCACUGGGCGUAAAGGGUGCGUAGGUGGCCGGGUAAGUCUGAUGUGAAAUCUCCGAGCUCAACUCGGAAAUGGCAUUGGAAACUAUCCGGCUGGAGGAGUGGAGGGGGGGACUGGAAUACUUGGUGUAGCAGUGAAAUGCGUAGAUAUCAAGUGGAACACCAGUGGCGAAGGCGAGUCCCUGGACACUUCCUGACACUGAGGCACGAAAGCUAGGGGGAGCAAAACAGG
rnacentral:rRNA from 1 species